rnacentral:rRNA from 1 species
UACGUAGGGUGCAAGCGUUGUCCGGAAUUAUUGGGCGUAAAGAGCUCGUAGGCGGCUUGUCGCGUCGGGAUGUGAAAGCCCGGGGCUUAACUCCGGGUCUGCAUUCGAUACGGGCAGGCUAGAGUGUGGUAGGGGAGAUCGGAAUUCCUGGUGUAGCGGUGAAAUGCGCAGAUAUCAGGAGGAACACCGGUGGCGAAGGCGGAUCUCUGGGCCAUUACUGACGCUGAGGAGCGAAAGCGUGGGGAGCGAACAGG